AAUUCAUUCUGUAUUUGCUGAGACGUCAACAUGAUGAAUAAGAAUUUGGAUUCAUUCAUUUCUGCAGCUGAGUGACUGUGUGUGUUUGCAUAUGUGUCCUGCCUCUCUGCUCCCAGCUGUUAAGAGGUCAGUGUUGAUCAGUGGCUGUUCAGACCUUUCAGAGACACUGAACACACCAGCAGCACAAUAAUGAUGUCACUGACUCUACUGCUGACCACCCUGGGGCUCCUUGUUCAGGGUUCAUCAGGAGAAAUCAUCCUGACUCAGACUCCUGGAUCUCAGUCUGUUGUUCCAGGACAGACUGUCUCCAUCAGAUGUAAAACCAGUACAAGUGUUGGCAGCUGGCUUCACUGGUACCUUCAGAAACCAGGAGAAGCUCCUAAACUCCUGAUAUAUACAGCUUCAAGUCGUCAGUCUGGAAUUCCAAGUCGUUUUAGUGGAAGUGGAUCUGGUUCUGAUUACACUCUGACCAUCAGUGGAGUUCAGACUGAAGAUUCAGGAGUUUAUUACUGUCAGCAGGGUUACUACACACCGUUCACACAGUGAUACAACGUCGUACAAAAACCUCCCUCAGCUGGAGAGGAACUGAUCUCAACCAACAGCUGCACUGAGACUAAAACAGGAGAAGAACUGAGACUAAAGUGCAGAUUUUU